GAGGGAGGCUCGAUAGCAACGAUGACUGCUAAUCUUCGUGCCCCUGGUUUGACCCCAGGGCUAACUCG
rnacentral:tRNA from 1 species